rnacentral:tRNA from 1 species
GAAGGGCGAAACUAAGGAUUGCUACUCCUUACACCCGGGACUUAAACCUCGGACCCAUCA